UAGAAUUAUUCUUUUCCGUAAGAGGCUUAUGAAAUGUAGUGCCAUACCCAAUGCCUUCCAAAUUAACCCUAAUUUUCUUUCUCGAAAAGAGGUGAGUACAACACAUUUUCUUCCUCCCUCUGCGAUUUGUGGUGGCUUUCUUCAUACGAGUGAAGUUGUUCAUUUUUUGUUCGUUCUUUUGUUCGUUCUUGAGAGCUUGCAAUGCACUCGGAGAUAAUAGAGAAGAUAAAGAAUUACCUACUUUCUGGGGCAUUUUCAGUAGAAAUUCAGGAGUGCUAUAGUAAAACCUUAAGGUUUUCAACUGUUCUUCAUUUUAAUGAACUCAUCAGCUGACAAAAAAUUAAACACAGAAAUGGAGUCGGCCCUGAAGGUUACAUUCCACUCUUAAAUUUCUACAUUUUUAGUCUCUCUUUUUUUCCUUUAAGGUUCUUGACUAUUUUAUUAUUUUUAGUACGUAAAUGUUUUGGAUUUUCUCUUACCUAUGGCGAUGAUCCCUCUGAAGAUGAUGAAGACGAUGAAGAAGAAGCGCGUCAGAUGUUGAAAUAUGGAACACAAAUAAUGCAUAAUCAGCUGCAUCGACCUGAUGAUCAGGAGCAUGAUAAUGGAGGGUAGAAACGUCAAAUUGAGGACCAUUUUUUGUUGCAUAGCAUUUUCUCCAUCUGUUAUUUUGUUGUAUAGCACGUGCUUUCAGCUAACUUGUAUAGUCUUCUGGAUCCUUCUUAUUCAUUGUAU
rnacentral:lncRNA from 1 species